rnacentral:rRNA from 1 species
UGGGCGUUAAGUUGCAGGGUAUAGACCCGAAACCCGGUGAUCUAGCCAUGGGCAGGUUGAAGGUUGGGUAACACUAACUGGAGGACCGAACCGACUAAUGUUGAAAAAUUAGCGGAUGACCUGUGGCUGGGGGUGAAAGGCCAAUCAAACCGGGAGAUAGCUGGUUCUCCCCGAAAGCUAUUUAGGUAGCGCCUCGUGAAUUCAUCUCCGGGGGUAGAGCACUGUUUCGGCUAGGGGGCCAUCCCGGCUUACCAACCCGAUGCAAACUGCGAAUACCGGAGAAUGUUAUCACGGGAGACACACGGCGGGUGCUAACGUCCGUCGUGAAGAGGGAAACAACCCAGACCGCCAGCUAAGGUCCCAAAGUCAUGGUUAAGUGGGAAACGAUGUGGGAAGGCCCAGACAGCCAGGAUGUUGGCUUAGAAGCAGCCAUCAUUUAAAGAAAGCGUAAUAGCUCACUGGUCGAGUCGGCCUGCGCGGAAGAUGUAACGGGGCUAAACCAUGCACCGAAGCUGCGGCAGCGAACGUAUCACCCAAGACAACUUUACGGAGUUGACGAUUGACGGAGCGAAGCGACGUCAAAGCGUUCAUUAAAGUCGAGUUGGCUUAGGGAUACGUUCGUUGGGUAGGGGAGCGUUCUGUAAGCCUGUGAAGGUGUGUCGUGAGGCAUGCUGGAGGUAUCAGAAGUGCGAAUGCUGACAUAAGUAACGAUAAAGCGGGUGAAAAGCCCGCUCGCCGGAAGACCAAGGGUUCCUGUCCAACGUUAAUCGGGGCAGGGUGAGUCGACCCCUAAGGCGAGGCCGAAAGGCGUAGUCGAUGGGAAACGGGUUAAUAUUCCCGUACUUGGUGUUACUGCGAAGGGGGGACGGAGAAGGCUAUGUUGGCCGGGCGACGGUUGUCCCGGUUUAAGCGUGUAGGUGUGUGUUCCAGGUAAAUCCGGUUCACUUUAACACUGAGGCGUGACGACGAGGCACUACGGUGCUGAAGCAACAAAUGCCCUGCUUCCAGGAAAAGCCUCUAAGCAU